rnacentral:lncRNA from 1 species
UAUUCCCCAUCCCUUAGCUAUAUAAAAAAGAGAGCUCCCUUAUGCAGAAUGAGUUGAUCAAUGAUUAAUAAUGAAAGACUCUUCUCUAUAUCUCUAUUAAUUUACUUUUUAUAUCUGUGCAUGAUCCGCUACAACGCUCGCUCGAGUUCGGUGUUAAUUUACUUUUUAUAUCUGUGCAUGAUCCGCUACAACGCUCGCUCGAGUUCGGUGUUGCGGAACAUGAAGAUCUCGAUAAACAAGGGCAAAGAAAACCGAGGCCUCCCUGCUCUGUGAAUCUCACCUCACCAUCCGCCUGCUGCCUACCUGUCUCCUCCGGUCUCAAACAAAUAAGCGCACCAAUCCCGGGGCGCCGUCUGCCUCUGCCUCUGUCGACCUCUCCAGACGGAUGGGCUGCCUCCACCAGCGGCUCGGCCGCACGCGUACGGCCUCUUCCUUCCUUCUCCGAGCUUCACUGCCCCUUUUCCCUUGGGAAUUUCUUGUUUCGUGUGAGCAAGAUUAGUUGGAUUUGCUUUCGGAAAAUCAGGUGCUCUGCCGUUCGUGAGGAGGUUCAAGCCGAGGGAGAUCNACGCGU